UACGUAGGGGGCUAGCGUUGUCCGGAAUCAUUGGGCGUAAAGAGCGUGUAGGCGGCCCGAUAAGUCCGCUGUGAAAGUCCAGGGCUCAACCCUGGGAUGCCGGUGGAAACUGUCGGGCUAGAGUCCGGAAGAGGCGAGUGGAAUUCCUGGUGUAGCGGUGAAAUGCGCAGAUAUCAGGAGGAACACCAAUGGCGAAGGCAGCUCGCUGGGACGGUACUGACGCUGAGACGCGAAAGCGUGGGGAGCGAACAGG
rnacentral:rRNA from 1 species